rnacentral:lncRNA from 1 species
UUUUUUUUCUUUUUUUCUCUUAUAUUUUUUAAAUGCAAAUACAUAUAUAUAUAUAUAUAUAUAUAUAAGUUUUAAAAAUAUAACAUAAUUCAUUAUUUAAAAUAUCAUAACAUACAAUAAAAAUAUUUGAAGUCUUAGAACAAAAACCUUUCGUAAUAUAAAAGACGCGAUAAGAAAUUAGGGUUAGAAUUUUUAGUAUGGAUAAAUAAAAAUAUAUGUAUUCUAAUUAAAAAUAUAUUUUUUUUUAAUUAAAAAAAUAUAUGUGCGGGUAUCCGUGGGUACCCGCGGAUUACUCAAAAUGCCCACAGCUUAAUGGGUACCCACCCGUUUUACCCGUAAUUUUUUGGGUUUGAAAAAUUGUUACCCAUACCCGCAAAUUUGUGGGCACCCGCGGGUAUGGGUCGAGAUUGCCAUGUCUACUCAUAUGUUCCACCGUUAUUACAAAAUAUCCUCGCAGUUAUCUCCUGUUAAGUUAAGUUGAGUUAAACGUGAGUUAAAUAUCUACAACAGUUAAAAAAAAUUAAAAUGCCAAUUUUGCCCUUAACUUAAGGGCAAAUAAGAAAUAUUGGUGACGGUAAAGGAGUAUAUUGGAAAAGACCUAAAGUCAAAAUACUUUUUGUGCCCCUGACUUUAAGGGCAAAUAAGAAAGUCAGUAAUGGUGGAAGGGUAUAUUUGAGAGGGCAAAAUAGUAAUUUUAUAAAGAUAACAGAGUUAAUUAACAAAUUUUAACUCUAGAAGUAUAUUAGAAAUAGAUUGGAACGUAGAAAGCGUAUUUUCAAUAUAUUAGCCUUCUAAGAAGGAUAAAUUGAAAAAUUAAGAACUUUUCAGGAAUACAUAAAUUAUUGCCCCAAAAGAAAAAGACAAAGGAAAAGCAUGUG